rnacentral:rRNA from 1 species
AGGAAUAUUGGUCAAUGGACGAGAGUCUGAACCAGCCAAGUAGCGUGAAGGAUGACUGCCCUAUGGGUUGUAAACUUCUUUUAUACGGGAAUAAAGUGAGGCACGUGUGCCUUUUUGUAUGUACCGUAUGAAUAAGGAUCGGCUAACUCCGUGCCAGCAGCCGCGGUAAUACGGAGGAUCCGAGCGUUAUCCGGAUUUAUUGGGUUUAAAGGGAGCGUAGAUGGGUUGUUAAGUCAGUUGUGAAAGUUUGCGGCUCAACCGUAAAAUUGCAAUUGAUACUGGCAGUCUUGAGUACAGUUGAGGUAGGCGGAAUUCGUGGUGUAGCGGUGAAAUGCUUAGAUAUCACGAAGAACUCCGAUUGCGAAGGCAGCUUACUAACCUGUAACUGACAUUGAUGCUCGAAAGUGUGGGUAUCAAACAGGAUUAGAUACCCUGGUAGUCCACACGGUAAACGAUGAAUACUCGCUGUAGGCGAUAUACAGUCUGCGGCCAAGCGAAAGCAUUAAGUAUUCCACCUGGGGAGUACGCCGGCAACGGUGAAACUCAAAGGAAUUGACGGGGGCCCGCACAAGCGGAGGAACAUGUGGUUUAAUUCGAUGAUACGCGAGGAACCUUACCCGGGCUUAAAUUGCAACCGAAUAUGGCGGAAACGCUAUAGCUAGCAAUAGCGGUUGUGAAGGUGCUGCAUGGUUGUCGUCAGCUCGUGCCGUGAGGUGUCGGCUUAAGUGCCAUAACGAGCGCAACCCUUGCCGAUAGUUACUAACAGGUUAUGCUGAGGACUCUGUCGGGACUGCCAUCGUAAGAUGUGAGGAAGGUGGGGAUGACGUCAAAUCAGCACGGCCCUUACGUCCGGGGCUACACACGUGUUACAAUGGGGGGUACAGAGGGCUGCUACCACGCAAGUGGAUGCCAAUCCCAAAAACCUCUCUCAGUUCGGAUUGAAGUCUGCAACCCGACUUCAUGAAGCUGGAUUCGCUAGUAAUCGCGCAUCAGCCACGGCGCGGUGAAUACGUUCCCG